UACGUAGGGGGCAAGCGUUGUCCGGAUUUAUUGGGCGUAAAGCGCUCGCAGGUGGUCCGUUGCGUCGUGCGUGAAAGACCCCGGCUCAACUGGGGAGUGUCGUGCGAUACGGGCGGACUGGAGGCCAGUAGGGGGAGUGCGGAAUUCCGGGUGUAGUGGUGGAAUGCGUAGAGAUCCGGAGGAACACCAGCGGCGGAAGGCGGCAUCCUGGACUGGUCCUGACACUCAGGA
rnacentral:rRNA from 1 species